rnacentral:lncRNA from 1 species
ACCAUUAAUAGCUUCUUCUAAGUCAGUUUGAUUAUAGCUUGAUUGGGAGAAAACACCCUCCCUGUCUACUUUGCCUACAUGAAAGGCAUGAAAGAGGUGGGGCAGAGGAGAGGCCUUCUAUCAUUCUCUAAGACCUAGAAAUCUACUUUCACCGGAAGGCACAGACUUCACAGAAGAAUUGAGCAAGAGCCAGCGUGGAAAUAUUGGACAGCUUCCCGGCAACUCUUGAGUCAGAAAAGGUGUCAAGAGAUUUGUGCCUGGCCAAGACCUUGGAGGAUGAUGGUGUUGCACUUCGUCUAGUUAUUCAGGCCUGCCAGACCAACUCCAGUUCCACUCACAGUGCUCCACAUGCAUCGCUGCAGCCCUGGGCACUCUCCUGCCAAUCCCGAUGCAACUCUGGCAAGUCCAAAUCACUGCUCAACUCAGAGAAGGAGAAGCUGCAAGAAAGCUCUGCUUUCCCCUGCAUCUUGGGGCAGCCCUGUUUGCCUCACAGACAGAGAAGAACCGAGCCCUAUAUGAUAUUUUCACCUAAUACGAAGCUGAACUUUGCAAGCACCUCCAUCCAGAGCAUGCACUGUGUGGUCUCCUUCUCCUCUGUGACUCGGCACUGUCCUCUGCACAGAUCAAGCACCAGACAAUACCAUCACCUUCCUGGUCUGAUAAAUGGACCCAGUCCUGGACUUAAGAAAAGUCGUAAGAUUCAGAGUUGCUUCUGCCACUGGGCAACUUCUUCGCAUGACCACCUGUAUUAGUUUCCAGUGGCUUCUGUAAUAAAUUACCAUAAACUUAGUGGCUUUAAACAAAAUCAGUGUGAUUUUCUCCCAGUUCUGGAGGCCAGAAGUCCAGAAUCCAGGUGUGAGCACGGCCACAUUCCCUCCAGAGGCUCUCGGGGAGAAUCCUGCCUUGUCUCUUCCAGCUUCUGGUGACUCCAGCAUUCCUUGGAGGUUUUGCCUCCAUCUUCACAUCGCUGGCUCCUUCUUUGCGUCUGUCUAAUCUCCCCCCGCCUUACUCUUCAAAGGCUACCAGUGAUGGCUUUUAGACCCUUUCCCCAAAUAAGAUACCAUUCACAGCUUUCAGGGAUUAAGAGGUGGUCGUGUCUGUGUGGAUCCCAUUCAGCCCACGCCACCUUCUUGGGACCUGGAAGAAAAGAAAAGUUUUGUGUUUUCUCCUCCUCCAGGAGCACCUCUUUAGAUCUGGGUCUUUCCCCUUCAUUCUGUAGCUUCUUUCCUUCAGUAUCUUCCGGGCAGUGCCCCUGCAAAUAUUAGAAACUGAGGCACACACUAAAAAGGUGGUUAUUUACCAACGCAGGUGUGUUGUCCUCUUUAGUUGGGCAAAGUUAAUGAACUCAGUACUGCAUUGUUUCCAAUUCAGGCCAGACAACACUUCCAGAAGCUCCCUGAUCUUGUGUCAGAAAUUCCUACAUGGUCCUCAUCUCGGAGAAACUACCCAAAUUAAUCUUUCUUCUUUCUGGCACUCUGCUCUGGACAAAAAUACGAGAGAAGCAUCUCCAACUAACUUAUUUCCCUCUGGCUUCUUCAUUCUAG